CUUGGCUGAAAUGGUAAAGUGUUCAGCUGUUAACUGAAAGGUCAGUAGUUCGAACCCACCAG
rnacentral:tRNA from 1 species